rfam:Ordospora colligata OC4 contig_04, whole genome shotgun sequence.
AGCAUGGUGGCGCAAUGGAAGCGCGUUGGGCUCAUAACCCAAAGGUUGUUGGUUCGAAUCCAUCCUAUGCUA